rnacentral:misc_RNA from 1 species
AUUUGCCCUCAGAGAAUGGAGAAGGUAGAUGUAUUUUUCUAUUUGACUGUCUGUUUGGCUCCAGAGAAAAAUGAUUUGUUUUUGUCCAUUUCAAUACUUAAUCAGAUUGUGCAAAGUUUAAUUUUUGUUUUUCUAAGCUGUUUAGAUUCUGUGAGUGUCGAACCUGAGUCAAUUAACACAAAAUUGCAAAUUUGUUUGAAUUAGUGAAAUUUUGCUAAUUUCAUGGGUUAAAGUUCAUUUUUGAAAAUAUUCAACCAAUCUACGAGUAGAAUGUGUUUCAAUGGGGCUCUUUCAUUGCACCGAGGGAAAAAGGUUUUAGAUUGAUUGUUCGCUGGUAUAAAAAUUUUAGCUUCAGCUGUUUCUGUUUCGCUAAUUGAGAUGGAUUUCAAAUUGGUAAUUGUGUGUCAUAUUGAUGCUUUUUGACCCAAUUGUGUUAGACGAUGGUGAUUUAUCUUGUGGCUGUAUUGAUAUUCAGAGAGAAUGCAAUAAGAUUGGAG